rnacentral:rRNA from 1 species
AUCAACGCUGGCGGCGUGCCUCAGACAUGCAAGUCGAACGCUGCUGUCCGCCUUCGGGUGGACAGCGGAGUGGCGCACGGGUGAGUAACACGUAGGUAAUCUACCUUUGGGUGGGGAAUAACAGCCGGAAACGGCUGCUAAUACCGCAUAAUGCAGCGGCAUCACAUGAUGACAGUUGUUAAAGCGAGGGAUCGUAAGACCUCGCGCCUGAAGAGGAGCCUGCGGCAGAUUAGGUAGUUGGUGAGGUAAUGGCUCACCAAGCCUGCGAUCUGUAACCG